rnacentral:rRNA from 1 species
GUGGGGAAUCUUCCGCAAUGGACGAAAGUCUGACGGAGCAACGCCGCGUGAGUGAAGAAGGUUUUCGGAUCGUAAAGCUCUUUCGUUAGGGACGAACGUGCUCUUUGUGAAUAAUGAGGAGUAAUGUCGGUACCUAAAUAAGAAGCCACGGCUAACUACGUGCCAGCAGCCGCGGUAAUACGUAGGUGGCAAGCGUUGUCCGGAAUUAUUGGGCGUAAAGCGCGCGCAGGCGGGAUAUCAAGUCUGUCUUAAAAGUGCGAGGCUCAACCUCGUGAGGGGACAGAAACUGGUAUUCUUGAGUGUCGGAGAGGAAAGUGGAAUUCCAAGUGUAGCGGUGAAAUGCGUAGAGAUUUGGAAGAACACCAGUGGCGAAGGCGACUUUCUGGACGAUGUCUGACGCUGAGGCGCGAAAGCUAGGGGAGCGAACGGGAUUAGAUACCCUAGUAGUCC